UAUUAGGUUUUUUAAUUUAUUUUUUUAUUUAUUAUUAUUAUGAUAGAAUUAACUUUUGGUAUUAGUAUAUUUUAUAAAAUAUACAUUUUAAUUUUUAUAGUUUAUUUUACUGUGAGGGUUUAUUAUCUAAAUUGUUUAAAGUAAAAUUUUUUGUUUGUACCUUUUGCAUCAGGGUUUAUUAAAUUAUCUUAUUUAUAAAUAGUUUUCCCGAAAUUACAGGAGAUACAUUUGUUUGUUAUUUAUUGUUUUAAAACUAUUAAUUAAAUAAAUAUAGGGGAGAUAUUCUAUUCAACUGUAAAUAUCUGGUUCUCUAAUAAAUGAAUUUAAUUCAGGGUCAUUUACAAUUACUAGAUAAUUACAUUUUGUCUAAUUUAAUUGAUCUAAUAAUAUGGGGGAUUAGCUCUUUGUUAUUUUUAUAGCUUUAAGGUUUAAUUUAUAAGUUUUGUAGGAUUAGUAAUAUUCUUCAUUUAUUUUGUUGUAAUUAUUUUUAUAAAUAUUUAUUUAUUUCAUUCUGGCUUGAAUUUUUAUUAGAGUUUUUAAAUUAAUUUUUAAUUUAAAGUGAUAAUGAUAAAAUUAGUAAUUUUUAUAAUUUAAGUAUAAUAAUUCGGCAAAUAUGAUUCUUACCUGUUUAUCAAAAACAUGUCCUAUUGUUUAUUUAUUUUAGGUCUGGCCUGCUCAAUGAUUAUUAUUUUAAAUAGCCGCAGUAUUUUGACUGUGCAAAGGUAGCAUAAUCAUUUGUCUCUUAAUUGGGGGCUUGUAUGAAUGGUUUGAUAAGGAUUCAACUUUCUUUACUUAAUAUUAAUGAAUUUAAUUUUUGGGUUAAAAAGCUCAAAUAUUUUUAUGGGACGAGAAGACCCUAUAGAAAUUUACUCUAUUUUUGGUGCUUAUUUUUAUUCUUUUUGGAAUUUUUAUCAUUACUAGAGUUUUGUUGGGGUGACAUGAAGAUUGUUAUAACUCUUUGUUAUUACUUUUUAUUUAUUUAUAUACAACUGAUCCUUUUUUAUGGAUUAAAAGAUUAAUUUACCUUAGGGAUAACAGCGUAAUUUCUUUGGAGAGUUCAUAUUGAUGAAGAAGUUUGCGACCUCGAUGUUGGAUUAAAAUAAGUGUUAAGUGCAGCAGCUUAAUUACUAGGUCUGUUCGACCUUUAAUUUUUUACAUGAUCUGAGUUCAGACCGGCGUGAGCCAGGUCGGUUUCUAUCUUUAAUUUAUCUAUUUAUGUUUUAGUACGAAAGGACCAAAUAUAACAGUUAUUACUGUAAAAUUAUGAUUUAUAUUAAUU
rnacentral:rRNA from 1 species